rnacentral:misc_RNA from 1 species
CUUACACUGCUCUCCCCCGCACCGCAGCGCCUCUGCCGCGUCCAUGACCUCACACAAUGCAACCUUCUCGUCGUCUCUCACGUUGGCGGGGAUGGACUACAUAGCUCCGUCAUCGGCCUGCAUCAAACCCACCCUGAUUUCCAGCGGCGGCAUCCAUGCGGUCGGUCCCGCUGACCCAACGGCAUCGGCAAGCGGUGUUGUUGGUAUGAAGCGUGGUGGCAACGCACCGCCGCUGGGCCCCGGCAUUGCUGCUGCCGCUCAGCACGCUGAUGUUGUGAAGAUCACCCUGCAAGACUGCCUGGCGUGCAGUGGGUGUGUAACGACAGCGGAAACGGUGCUCGUCAACGCGCAGAGCCGCCACGAGAUUGUGUCUGCCCUGCUCACAUCGCCCGCAUCGACGUCGUCGUCAACGACAGGGACGGGGAGUGUCUCUCGUCCUCGGCUGGUGAGCAUCAGCUCCCAGUCCUGCGCCUCCCUCGCCGCCCACCUUCACAUGUCCAUGGCUGCCGUGUACGAGCUGGUAGCUGGUUUUAUGCGAGCAACGCUCACGACAGCCGGGCUGCAGGAGGCCGCGCGGAACGCCGAGAUUGCUGCUGCUGAGUCGCCGCGCGAUGCCAUGAAGAACGAGGAAGUGAGCGGUGCAUCGACGACAGCGACGACAGAUGCCGCCGCGGCGGUCCUCUCCGAGUCGGAACCGCCAAUCUAUGUGGUAGACCUUGAGUGGGCCGAGCAACUGUCCGCAGAGCUGACGGCGCAGGAGUACGAUCGGCGUCGUCGCGGCGGCGGCACCGCCGAGGUUGGGCCGCUGCCGUUGAUCGUGUCAUCAUGUCCAGGCUGGGUGUGUUACUGCGAGAAGCAGGGCUCAGCGCUGCUGCCGCACCUCUGCCCUGUCAUGUCCGCCCAGGGGAUCGCCGGCAGCUACGCAAAACGUGCCGUUGCCGCGAACCUCUACCACGUGUCGAUACAGCCCUGCUUUGACCGAAAGCUCGAGGCGGCGCGGGACUCGAUGACCUCAUCGACGACGGCGCCACCAGCCGACGGGGCGGACAUGCCGGUCUUCUACACGGACUGCGUUCUCAGCACUGCGGAGUUGCUGGAGUGGAUGAAGGAGGCGGACCCGACGCUUCCGUGGAGGGGACGCCUGGACACGAACGUCACCGCAGCCGCCGUCGCCUUGGUUGGCGGCAACUGUCCAGGCCACACGGCCCAGCAGCCCACGCAGUUGAACGAGGAAGAGGCGCCCACGUCAACAUCGUCGCCGGCAGCCUCUGCUAUCUUCGCGCCCGCCCACGAUGCGGCGCGGUUCGCCGGCAGUGGCGGCUACCAUCGAUCGGUCAUCGCGCACCGCCUGCGGGUGGAGGGGGCGGCAGCGCUGCCGUCCUCGUCGUCGCCCUCGCCGGACACGCCCGCUAGCAUCGCGUACGAGGUGAAGCGCAACCGCAAUCAUCAACUCGCCACUUGCGCCGCCCUGCCGGAGGAGGUGUUCUGCAUCGGCUACGGCUUUCAACAAAUUCAGAACGUGGUGCGUGGCCUCAAGAAACGCAUACCCGCCAUGCGUGGCUACACCUUUAUCGAGCUCAUGGCGUGCCCAGACGGGUGCUUGAACGGUGGAGGGCAGGUGCGGCCGGCGCAGCAGCCCCACGCAGAGGUGCUGAACGCCGUCCUUGACGCCUACGCGAGGAGUAUGGAGGGCAGUCGUGAGAAGGGCGGCCUUGGCGCAGCUACAGCUGCUGCCUCUUCGGGCUCGGCACUUGCCUGUACGUUUGCCAGCGCACAGCCCGUCAGCAGCGACGCGCAGGCUGAGGACGGAGAGGUCGCCAUGAAGGCGCAGCGACGUCGCGUCGAGGCAGCAUGGAAGCCCUUCGCCGAUGCCACCAUUGCUGUCACAGCCCCCUCACUAGGGGACGCGCUGUGGCGUUGUACAUUUCGCGACCGCGAGAAAGAGUUCGCAGCGAUGCUGAACGACGGCAACGUGCACAGCUUAAAGUGGUGAGGGACGGCGACAACCGAAAAGGCGUGGAGAAGGAGGGGGCGGCGGCGGCAAUGGUGUUGUCCGUCUGUGGGGGAGGCAGGAAGACGAGGCGCUUCUCUGGCCACUCGACGCGUGCCUGAGCAUCUGCUGAAGUGGUCCAUCUUGGGUCAAAACGCAGCAAUCCGUCCUCUUCUCUUGCACGCCUUCGAUCUCACUCUGCCGCUUGUGUCACUCUCUCCACCUUAUCCUUGUGUGCGCACACACACGCACACGCGUGUGCAAGGAUAGGCACUCCAUCUAUGCGAUUUUGGCGCACCACUGCAGCCCGCACGCAGAGAAGUAGGUAUGGAGAGGGCGAAACAUGCUCUCUUUUAUUGAUCAAGCGCAAGAGUGUGCACACGUACAUCGAUGUGUCUGCUCGACGCGAUAACAAGUGAUGGACUCGGUUGCGAAAUUCAACACGCAUGUGCGCGCAAUUACGCGUGCGACUUACUCUUCCAUACGACUCGAUAACGGCUCCUUCUUCUCUCUGGGUGUCACUCUCGCUCGGGACCCCCCCACCACCACCACCACCGCCGCCCGCUACCUUCGUGAGCAGGGGUCUCGCAUGCCCGCAUCCACCGCUACGGCC